rnacentral:lncRNA from 1 species
AUCCCACCUUCUGUCCUUGGAGAAACUCCCUCCUCCUCGCUGCCUGCCGGGCUUCGGAGUGACUCGGCAGAGACAGAGGCACAGGGGCUGCCCUGCUGCUCACCGGUCCACCCAUCUGCCUGGUCUUCUGGAGCUGAGGACUCGGGAAACCAUGCAAUUGAGGCAAGCCUUGGGCUGCUUUAGAGGCGCUGACAUCCGAGGAGACUUCUCCUGGGAUUGAAGGAGCAAUGUUUGGAGGAAGCGAAAGAAAGGAGAGGACACAGAGCACAGAGCAGCCAGGCAGAGCCAGGAGCUGAGAAGGGCCCAGACCUGAGGCCUCCCAACAACUCUCUUCUUGGAAGGAUCUGGGAUGUUGCUGAAGGAAAAUAAAAAAAUAUGUAAAAAGAUAACCUUUUGUUUUUCCCUCUCCAGGAAAUAGCCAAAGUUAUUUACAUAUCUUGGGGAGAUUUAGAGUAUAAACUCUAAGAUCUUUGGUAUUUAAGUGUCAACAUCGAUUUAUUUAUUUAUUGCUGAGCUGACUGUAACUGACUCAAUAACAAAUCUAAUCGUGUAUUGCACUGGAAAAGAAAUAUUCUUAUUAUGUAUUUUCUCCAAAUAAUGGCCUACCAUUGCAUUUGAAUACCUGCUGUAAAUAUCAAUAAUAUGAAGUAAUUACUCUGUAGUCGAGUAAACUAAUUUAUUAGCAUUAAUGUUUAUGUGGCUCUCCACCUCCCCCCACCACCACCUUUACAAGGAUUGCUUAUCACAAAUCAAGCUACUUGGACACAUUGGUUUAAUGAACUCUUUAUUCAAGAUUUGCUACAAGAAUUUUCAUGUCCUUUGAAUCCCUGAGAACUGAACUUGAAAUUAUUUGUGCAUCUUCAGCUUGACAUAUUUGUCCACUGUGGCUUGUCCAGAGGGCAGCAGUGCUGUGAGUGAGA